rnacentral:rRNA from 1 species
GAUGAACGCUGGCGGCGUGCCUAAUACAUGCAAGUCGAGCGAACGGACGAGAAGCUUGCUUCUCUGAUGUUAGCGGCGGACGUGUGAGUAACACGUGGAUAACCUACCUAUAUUACUGGGAUAACUUCGGGAACCCGGAUCUAAUACCGGAUAAUAUUUUUAACCUCAUUGUUCAAAAGUGAACGACGUUCUUUCUGUCUCUUUUAGUUGCAUCCGCGCUGCAUUAGCUAGUUGGUAAGGUAACGGCUUACCAAGGCAACGAUGCAUAUCCGACCUGAGAGGGUGAUCGGCCACACUGGAACUGAGACACGGUCCAGACUCCUACGGGAGGCAGCAGUAGGGAAUCUUACGCAAUGGGCGAAAGCAUGACGGAGCAACGCCGCGUGAGUGAUGAAGGUCUUAGGAUCGUAAAACUCUGUUAUUAGGGAAGAACAUAUGUGUAAGUAACUGUGCACAGAUUGACGGUAACUAAUCAGAAAGCAACGGCUAACUACGUG